rnacentral:tRNA from 1 species
AAUCCUUCCGUCCCAGA